rnacentral:lncRNA from 1 species
AAUUCAGGAAAGCAAAACUUGUUUUUCUUGAAAUUUGCUUUUCUUUUCACAAUUGACCCCAUGAUGCCUAGGCAUUAAUCUUUAGUGAAAGUCAUAGACACUCUCUAGAUAGUGGAGAUAUUAAAAGCCAUUGGCAGGAUUUUGGUCACUCAACACAUUUUAAACAAAACAAAAAUGCCAAUAAACAAUAUCCGCAGGCCGGAGUUCUUUUGUGGCACAGUGGGUUAAGGAUCUGGUGUUGUCACUGUCACUGCUGUGGCAUGGAUUCAGCCCUUGACUUGGGAACUUCCACAUGCUACGAGUGUGGCAAAAAAAAACCCAAAACCCCCAAAAAACCCAAUAUCAAUAGGCAAACAACAGUUUGAAAUCCUCUCUAUAACUAUCCCACCAUUUGUUUGUGUCAAGAAAAUAAAUAAAGGUCUUUGGCUAAGGUUAAGGUAGGUAUUUGAUUUAAAACUUGAGUGAGAUUAUGGAAUACUUGUUCCUAUUGGGCCAUCUUUUGUAAAUUUUUCUGAAUUUGUGCAGAAUUAUCAACACACUUGUGGCAGGUAGUGCCCUUUAUAGCACAUACACCUUCUCCUUGGCCGAAUAAGUAAUCUAGAACUAAGUGAUUAUCCAAAACUAUUUGUGCUAACAACUAUCUGUUGUUAUAUUAAGGCUAAGCUUUGGUCUAACAACCCAGUGGUGUUCCUGGCAGUGAUUUGUAAGGGUAGUCCCUGGGAGGUAGAUGCAAGUACAUUGAUGUCAACAGACAGGGGCCAACAAGGAGGCAAAUGCAUUGGAGGUUGAGGGAAGAAGUGCACAUAUAGAGAGCAUCUGGGGAUUUUGAGAUUAGUAGAUGCAAACUAUUACAUUUAGAAUGGAUAAGCAGUGAGGUCCUGUUGUACAGCACAGGGAACUAUAUCCAGUCUGUUGGGAAAGAACAUGAUGUAUGUAUAUGGGGUUCAGGCGCAAUUAUUUUCACUUCUGUGGGGAGGUAUGAUUCCAUAAUUCAUUGGAAUUAAGCGGCUAAAUGUGAUCUAGAAGCAGCAUGGUGGAUCUGUGUUCUUCUAAUGGGCCAGGGGUCAUAGAUAACCACCCAUCCCUGAUCGGGUCACCAAUGAAUAUUGGGAGGUGAGAUGAUGGAUGUUUUAAAUCUGUAAGGGAAAAAAAUGUAAGUUAUAUUGUCCUGUAAGAUUAAGGCACCAGAUUCCCCUGUGAUAAUAAUCAUAGUCAGUAUGGCCAAAUUAGUUUAUGAGAGUGUGGCCAUAUGGCUUAGAGUUUAAAGCUAUAAGUGCCUCUGGCAACAAAGAAGUCCAUUUAGGAGUACAUUUUUCACCCUGUAACUUAAGGAUCAAGUAAUGCCAGAGGUCCAUGGCUGGUAUGGGAGAAGAAAGUUCCAUUGGAUGCUCUGUUGGAGAGCCCCGUGGAGUGUUAAUGUGGUAAAAUGAGAUACUUUAUCUGAGUAAAUGAUGUCAGGAGGGCCAAAUGGAAGAAGGAUACACAUAGAAAAGAAGAUCCCUGUCCCCAGAAGUAUUCCUGGUAGGUAUAUCAAUCAGUGAGCCAGUAAAAGUACCCACAUGUGUAGUGGUGAAGUGGGUAGUGCCUGUGGAUGGAGGAGCAGCCCUGUGAAGUCAAAGGGCUAAACGGAUGGUUCCCUUGUGGAACCAGAGGAUGGUGGUGCAGUCUCCAGUUUGGUUUAGGAGCAUAAUUUGCAAUUCAAAACAGUGUGUUUUCUAAGGGCUGGCAUAAGUGAAACACCCCUGGCCCUGGCCCAGGCCCAGGUGGCAGCAGCUCCCCAUAAUCCUAAAGGCUACACCAAGGAAAAAGGGAUAGGAAGUGCUGACUAAGAAAGGCCUGAUUGGUGGAGUUGAGGACUGAUUGAUGGGGGAAGCUGUGGUUUUGUGGUAGUGGGUAGAGCCCACAUUGCUGUUGGUAAAGGGGCAGUGGUCAACAGCCCCGAAAAGCUGGUGACCUGGAUUUGGCCAAGGGCAUCCACUUUGUGGUUAAAGACAGUCUUUAUUGUGGUAGCAUCUGUAUGUGAUGAAACAUGGGUAACUCAGUUGUUACUGGUGCCUGGGUGAUGUACCUCCAAACUGGGGGACCCCAAAUGGGAUGGUCUUGAAUGUGAAAAUUGUCCUGCUUCCAUUGGCCCAACCAAGCUGCUGCCUUGGCAGCAACCAUGUGUGAGCCAAUAUAAGUAUGGACAAGAGGCUUGUCAUGGUCAGAGGCACUCUGCCCAGGCAUUUGUACUUGUGGGAUGACAGUGUCCUCGCCAUAAGUGGUGGAGCCUUUUGAAGAGCUGCAGUGGACCAUCCUGCCAGAGGCACCACACUUAUCAAAGACAGCAAGUCCAUGCUGGUCAGUGUCUCAACCCAGAAGGAGCAGCCAGGGGGAAGCCAAAGAGAGGGCAUAAUAAAUUGACCUCUGUGCUACUUGUAAGACUUGCUACUGAGCUACCUGCCCCCAGUAAAUGUGGAGGCUUUGCAUGUGACUGCAUAAAUGACUGUCUAAGAAUGGUCUAAGAAUGGUGGGUAAGUGUGGUAUGUGUUGCCUCCAAAAUGAGAAGAGACCUAAGAAUUGCUGGGUUUGCCAUGGUGGGAGGCUGAAUAGUUAACAAUUGAUAUUUAACUGCCUUUAAAGGACCAAUUCAUGUCCAGACAUUUAACAGUGGUAGCUGGCCCUUCAAUUUUAGGUGAGGCAAUAACCCAACCUGUAUGUUGCAGAUGCAUCACCAGUUGUAUUAAGGCUUCAUACAUUGUAUCCCUUGAGGGGACCCUAGAUUAAAGUGCCAUUGGUAUAGUGCCAGACAGUGCAAGGGGGACACUGGGUCUUGCUGGCAAAGAUUGUGGACAAUAACUGGGCUGUUAAGAUAGCUCAUAGGUGACCAGGUAAAGGUAUAUUGUGAAUGCCUUUGAACAUAAAGGCGAAUUGUAGCUGGGAAUCCUAGGUGAUCACUACUGAAUAGGACGGAUUAGUUAGAUCAAUUAUGGCAAAGUAGGCCAUGGAGCCCUUUGGAUGUUCUCAAUUAACCCGGCAAGUUGGGAAUGGUAGCUUCAAAAGGCGGCACCUGAACAUUUAAAUUUCAGCAGCAAGCUAUAAGGCACCACUCAUUAGUAGCUGGCUUUAAUACUGGCCAAAGGGGGAACUGAAAGGAGAAACGGUCUGUUUAAUGACUUCUUCCUUUAAUAAAUCUUGAAUUAUGGGCCAUAAUCCUUCAGUCCCCUGGCAAAAGUGACACUGGGGCUGUCUUAAUCGGGAGUGGUAGUCUUAUGAGCUCCCAAUGUGCAGCUCCUACCAGGAAAGCCAGGGAUUGGGGUUUGCUUCACAUGGCAUGGUGGUGGCACAUUAAGGCAUCCACACCUAUAACAGGAAAGGAUAGGGCCAAAGGGGCCACCACCACUAAAAGGAUUUUAAUCAAAAUUGUUCCAAGAGGCAUCAGUGGAUGCCUUCUACUAUUCUACCUGCAAUACCUUAUAAUUCAGAGGGUGCCCCUUGCUUAUAUUUGGAGGGGUUCCCAGGAAGCACUAUAAUUUGGGCUCCAGUGUCUAUUUUGUGGGAGCAGAAGGAUAAUUAGAGAAGUGUAUGGGGGCAGUGUCUUCUGGAGGAAGGAAAAGCUCCAGGGAACUGCCAGGUCCCAGGGCAGAGACCUUGGUGGCUGCCACUCUCUAAAAUCACAGUCCUGAAUCCCAGAUCCUGCUGCCAGUUCUGGGCAUUCUGGUGCAUUCUGAGAAGUGACAGCAUCUGCCCUCACUGGGAGGCGGGGCAGUUUCUUAGAGUCUGCAGCACCUGAAAAAAGGCUUUUUUUUUUCCCCCUCUUUUUUUUGCUGCCCUAUAGAAAAUGGAGUUCUCAGGCCAGGGAUCAGAGCCGAGCUGCAGUUGUAACCUACAAGGCAGCUGUGGCAAUGCCGGAUCCUUUAACCCACUGUGCUGAAUGCCGGGUCAGGAUGAAACCUGCGACCGUAGCGGGAACUCCUGAGUGAAGGCUUUUAAGUCAACUUGGGCUAUCGUGAGAUUAAGUCAUUUGGGAAGGAGCUAGGUUGAGGCACCAUCCCUCUGUGAGGACCAGUAAGUGGCCUGGAAGUCCUCAUAUCCUUUAGGGCCCCUCCUUUGGUUUCCUGCCUGAGGGAGCAGCAGGGCCAUUUUCACCUUUACCAGUGAACAAGAUCUGGGCUUCAGAAAAUGCUCUUUUUCUUGUUUAACUAGAGCAUUGAGGCAGUCCAAGGCUUAUUGUACAUCAUCUGACACUUCUGUGAAUUGUAACAGCAUCUUAUAAUUGGGAGGGUGCCCUUUAAGUAGUAUUUAUUAGAUUCUGGUCCCAAGGGUACCUAUUCUGGGUUGGAGAUGGUCAAGGGGUCUAUGGGAGCAUGACGCUCAGCAAAAUGAUACACGCACUGAACCAACUCAUUUUCCCUGAGAGGAGGUGAGCUUCACCUAGGGUUGUUCACUGGAAGUUGAAUAGUUAGUUGUAGUAACUGUGACAGAUGGUGGACCCUGUGCCAAGCUAGAAAAUCCAAGUCAGGGAAGGCCUUAUCUGUAUGAGCUCCAGAGGCCUGGUGGGGGUGCUCAUCUUCAGAAAUUCAUCCUCUUUUUUUGUUUUGUCUCUGUCUCCUCCCUUGGUGGCUCAGUGUAUUUGGGAGCAUCCUCACUGCAGUGAAAAGUCUGAGGGCUCCUCUAGGGGGUCUCUAAUAAAGUGGGCCCUCGAUAUCUUGGGUCUUCCUUAAAACAGAUUAUUAAUUUGCUAGGUGCUGUGUUGGGGAUAGUUCCCAAUGCCUAAGAAUGUAGCACCUGCAACUUUGCUUGUUGAUAUGCCACCGAUUAUAAUAAAUCCAAGCCAUCUGAGCAGCAGUCUUAGAAGUGUCUAGUGUUUUUUUUGACCUCUUCUGGGAACUUGGGAGGGACUGGUACUGUGUGUUUCCAGCCCCACCUUUAGGGAGUCUAGAUUUUGCUUUCUGAGCCAGGAGUGGGAUAACCUAUAUCCCAGGGGGCCGGGGGAGGGAAUUUUGCAAUUGCAUCAAGAAAUGCAGCAAUGUAGGAGGUGCUUACCUCAGCAACGUUUGCCCACCUAGGGUGUUAUGUCCCUGGUAGAGUUGCCCCAUCAAGGUUGGGGCUGGGAACAUGUAGGGGCCAGCAGCCAGCCUUUCCUCCUGACCCUAAUGUAGAGGAACUCUCCUUGGCUCCCUGGACCUGAUAGCCCUCACCCUGGCUUCUGCUUGAGGGAUAGAAGCUGAGCCCUUACCAGAUAUUAGCUCUUCUGAGAUCAAUGCAGGGACUUUUGCAUGUGAUUAUAGCCAUCGCCUCCAGACUGGACACCCAUCAGGGUCUCAUUUAGAGACUAAUGGGAAACACAACCAUCUCACACUGAGGCCUGCUAGCUGGUCUCUACAGGGGAGUCUGACCUUUUAUGGCAAUAACGAUUUAGGGUAGGGAUUCCCAGCAACAUGUAGCAGCAGCAAUACACAUUAGCGCCAGCAAGUGCUGCUUCCUUCCCAGAGAGACUGAGCAGUCUGGGAAAAGAAGUGAGUGAGCCAUUCACAGCUCUAAGGCAUUGCAAGAGGGUACAAACUAUGCUCACAAUCUCAUCCUUCUUGUUGCCAGUUGUGCUCAGAAGCCAGAGCUAGUGCAUUGAAUUAGGAAUAUGCAGAUUAUGACCUGCCAAAUGCAGAGAUCAAGAUGAAACACCCACACAGGGGCAGCAGGUAGCUUCCUCAGCUUCUGAGCUCCCAUUUUGGGGAAGUGAAAGACAGGAUUGUUUCAACUGAAGAUGCAUCUUCAAUACCGUACACCCACAGUAAGGAUGUAGUCACAAGACUUACUACUUACAUGUGCUAGAGGCCAGGAGCUGCAUGGGUGUUGGGAAGGGCAGUCCUCCCUCCCAGGUGAACAGGAGACAGAGAGCAGGUAACAAGCAUCUAUUGCUUAUAAGGUGGCUGGGGUAGACACUAACUUUUUGAGGGCUUAACCGUUAAUGGUUAUUUUAAAGAGUGCCCAGGAAAAAGUAAGCAGGGACUUACCUACAGUAGGCAUCCUAGACUCAUCCAAGUCCUUAUCUAAAUGCCUAGACUCUGGGUGUGAGCAGAGUUAUUAUUACCGAAAAAUAUCUAGGCAGCAACUCAGAAAAAUAAAAAUUGUUUUCUCAAAAGUUGUUUUUCAGAGUUCCCAUUGUGGCUCAGCAGUAACGAACCCAACUAGUAUCCAUGAGGACCUGGGUUUGAUCCCUGGCUUCGCUCCGUUGGUCAGGGAUCCAGCCUUGUUGUGAGCUGUGAUUUAGGUCUCAGGUACUGCUCAGAUUCCGCGUUGCUGUGACUGUGGCUGUGGCCGGCAGCUGCAGCUCUGAUUUGACCCCUAGCCUGGAACUUCCUUAUGCCACUAAAAAG